AGUGAACGCUGGCGGUAGGCCUAACACAUGCAAGUCGAACGGCAGCACAGUAAGAGCUUGCUCUUACGGGUGGCGAGUGGCGGACGGGUGAGGAAUACAUCGGAAUCUACUUUUUCGUGGGGGAUAACGUAGGGAAACUUACGCUAAUACCGCAUACGACCUACGGGUGAAAGCAGGGGAUCUUCGGACCUUGCGCGAUUGAAUGAGCCGAUGUCGGAUUAGCUAGUUGGCGGGGUAAAGGCCCACCAAGGCGACGAUCCGUAGCUGGUCUGAGAGGAUGAUCAGCCACACUGGAACUGAGACACGGUCCAGACUCCUACGGGAGGCAGAAGUGGGGAAUAUUGGACAAUGGGCGCAAGCCUGAGCCAGCCAUACCGCGUGGGUGAAGAAGGCCUUCGGGUUGUAAAGCCCUUUUGUUGGGAAAGAAAAGCAGCAGGUUAAUACCCCGCUGUUCCGACGGUACCCAAAGAAUAAGCACCGGCUAACUUCGUG
rnacentral:rRNA from 1 species